CGCGAUAGGACAGAUUAUCGCGCGAGAUAGUGGUGACGUCACGCGUUCUUCCGGAAGUUCACAUUCAAACACGAGGAGCGAUUACGAGGGAGUUUUGUCUAUAUAUCAUUCAAAAUCUACUGUUGGGAAAAGCAGAACCUCAUCCAAAUAAAAAUAAACAAGCUGUUAAAGGCACUGUGUCCUACACAGACCCUCCAAAAUAUAACCACCCAAAACCCAAGUCAGUUGAAGGUCAACACAAACCAAAUAAAGAUGUGCAUUCUACAAACAAUAAAAAAAGAUCAAGUUUUGUGUCCACCACACUUAGAUGAGGCAUGGCCUACCCCUGACUUUGUCUACCCUACAUUAAGUUGCACACUUCAUGACAGUAAACAUCGGUAUCACAAUGGUGUGAUUGAUCUAUACCCUAGAAUAAGCUGUGACACUAUGAGACGUGAGGUAACACAACGAAAAAAUUACCGGAUGGAGACUACCUGAUUCUUCACCUAUGGCCUCAGCUUCAAAUGCAACAUGUCCAGCAACUGUCUGAGUUGGUGGAUAUUCUGUCAGAGACUGCGUGAACAACGUUAUGAACAGAAUGAUGUCAAAUUGUCUUAUGGCAAAGUUCAAUAUGAGGGGUGGUGGACAUCUGGAAAAGAAGUCUUUUAAAGGCACACCUUUGUAUUAUGUUAUUCAAGAUGCUGUGAAGAGGUGGAGCCCAAAUGCCACAGACUCGGAAAUAGUUGCAGCUAUGGCAGACCACCUCAAGCACGCUCCAGGAAGAGCUGGGGGUGGUGGAUACAAAAAAGCCAAACAGCUGUGAUGUGUUAAAGAGAGAGUUCACCAAAAAAUGAAAAUUGUUAUAAUUUUCUUAUCCACAUGUUUCAAACCUGUAUACCUUUCUAUUUUCUGCUGAACACAAAGAUUGAAGAAUGUUUGUAACUUCACAACCAAUUAACUGUCAAUAUCUUUUUUACAAUUUUAGUAAUGGGUUGUGGGAUCUGCUUUGUUAAAAACAUUCUUUCACAUAUCUUUGUGUUCAGCAGAACAUAGAAGGGUAUACAGGUUUGAAACAUGAGAGGGAAUAAAUGACUAAAUAUUAAUUUUUGGGUGAACUAUCCCUUUAUAGAAAGUGUUUUGAAGUUGUUGUUAUAGUUAAAUGGUUAAAAAAAAUAAAAAGUGCUAAAUCAGAACAUGCUUCUUUUUUUGUUAUGGCCACAAAUAAUGUAUUCUUUAAUGUGUUUGUGAAGUACACGUGGUUAAAACGGUUUAUGGACGUUCAGGUCUGACUGGACCAAUUUUGAACUGAUUUUGAACCUUUGUGAAUAUGUGUUAAACCUCAAUACAAUUGAUUGCCUUUCACGAUGUUACACAAUGGGUGUAUAUUCAUUUUAUAUGCAUACAUUUAAACUAUGCAGCAACACAUUUAAACAUCCAGAAGACGGCACAUUUAGACGUCCAGGGACGGGCAGAAAAGACGUGUAAUUCACGGCCAAAUGACGUCAAAGACGUCCGCUCAACUUUAUUUUAGGG